GAUGAACGCUGGCGGCGUGCCUAAUACAUGCAAGUCGAGCGAACGGACGAGAAGCUUGCUUCUCUGAUGUUAGCGGCGGACGGGUGAGUAACACGUGGAUAACCUACCUAUAAGACUGGGAUAACUUCGGGAAACCGGAGCUAAUACCGGAUAAUAUUUUGAACCGCAUGGUUCAAAAGUGAAAGACGGUCUUGCUGUCCCUUAUAGAUGGAUCCGCGCUGCAUUAGCUAGUUGGUAAGGUAACGGCUUACCAAGGCAACGAUGCAUAGCCGACCUGAGAGGGUGAGCGGCCACACUGGAACUGAGACCCGGUCCAGACUCCUACGGGAGGCAGCAGUAGGGAAUCUUCCGCAAUGGGCGAAAGCCUGACGGAGCAACGCCGCGUGAGUGAUGAAGGUCUUCGGAUCGUAAAACUCUGUUAUUAGGGAAGAACAUAUGUGUAAGUAACUGUGCACAUCUUGACGGUACCUAAUCAGAAAGCCACGGCUAACUACGUG
rnacentral:rRNA from 1 species